rnacentral:rRNA from 1 species
AUUGAACGCUGGCGGCAUGCCUAACACAUGCAAGUCGAACGGGGCAGCAAUGCCUAGUGGCGGACGGGUGAGGAAUACGUAGGAAUCUGCCCUUAAGUGGGGGAUAACCAGGGGAAACCCUGACUAAUACCGCAUGAUCUCUUCGGAGCAAAGAGGGGGACUGCAAGGCCUCUCGCUUCUGGAUGAGCCUACGUCUGAUUAGCUAGUUGGUAGGGUAAAGGCCUACCAAGGCGACGAUCAGUAACUGGUCUGAGAGGAUGAUCAGUCACACCGGAACUGAGACACGGUCCGGACUCCUACGGGAGGCAGCAGUGGGGAAUAUUGGACAGUGGGCGCAAGCCUGAUCCAGCAAUGCCGCGUGUGUGAAGAAGGCCUUCGGGUUGUAAAGCACUUUAGCCUGGAAAGAAAAAACUUUGGUUAACACCCAAAGUCUUGACGGUACCAGGAGAAUAAGCACCGGCUAACUCUGUGCCAGCCGCCGCAGUAACAC